rnacentral:rRNA from 1 species
CCUGGAGGAAGGUGGGGAUGACGUCAAAUCAUCAUGCCCCUUAUGCUUAGGGCUACACACGUGCUACAAUGGGUAGUACAGAGGGUUGCCAAGCCGUAAGGUGGAGCUAAUCCCUUAAAGCUACUCUCAGUUCGGAUUGUAGGCUGAAACUCGCCUACAUGAAGCUGGAGUUACUAGUAAUCGCAGAUCAGAAUGCUGCGGUGAAUGCGUUCCCGGGUCUUGUACCCACCGCCCGUCACACCACGGGAGUUGGAGACGCCCGAAGCCGAUUAUCUAACCUCUUGGAAUAAGUCGUCGAAGGUGGAAUCAAUACCUGGGGUGAAG